CAAGACAAAGCCCAAACACACACAUGCUCAUCUUCUCAGGGAAGCAUUCGCAAGCAGCAGAUUCAAGAUUCAAGAACCACCCUCCGCAAAUAUACAGCGACUAUUGAGGGCAGUCUAUUCAUCUUCUUUCUUGAAAUAAGAUUACAUAAACAACACAGAUAGCAAGAAGAGACAGAGACGGAGAUCCUCUCAUGGUUUAGAAGAGAUGGUGGUGCUUCUUGCCAUGAGCCUCUUCAUCUUCUUUCUUGGCGUCCUUCUUCUCGUGGUGCUCAUGGAAGGCGAACCCGCCGGCCCCAACGGCGGCAGCGGCGGCUAUUUCCUCCUCUAUCUUGUGCUUAUGGGCGUGCUCUGGGUCCUUCUUGGCCUUAUGCUUCUCAUGCUGCAAUUUGCACAUCAUUAAUUAGGAACUGAGUGGAUGAAACAAAAUGAGUAAAGGUAAAGAGGGGAAAAAAAGUUCUCUACUCUGUAUACCUCUUUUUAUAGAGGCUUUAAGCAUGGUAUAAGUUAAAAAAAAAUGAAUUUAUUCAAAAAAUGAAUUUAUUCACUUUGAACAGAAGUAUUUGAUUAUGUAAAUAAUGAUAUAGAUAACAGCUAUGUUUUUUUGUUUAAGCCAAUUGUGGGGAAAUAUCAUUCCUCUACUUGAUCGAUGAAGGAAACUGAUUGAAUUCAAACUAUUGUUCGUUUAUAAAGAUGAUCCAUUCUUGUAUGACAUGCCAUCAUCAUGGCUAGUUGAAAUAUGUAAGUUUAAUCGAGAUUCUUCGCAUCCAUAAUUUGUGAUCAACAAGAUGGUUCAGUAAAGAAGGUGAAGACGAGAAUUUUAUCUAAAUAUAAAAUGGGGAAAAAUUGCAAGAAUUGAGAAGAAGAUGAUAACAAUUACCAAGGCAUAAGCGCCGGCAGCAACAGUACCGAGCUCACCGAGCUGCUCGAGAUGCUUGUGGUGCUUCUCCUCUUUCUCGUAAUCGACGACCGCAGGCUCCUCGUUGGCGUCAUCCUUCUUGUGGUGGAAGAGGUGGUGGUGGUGUUCUUCGGCCAUGGUCGGUGGUUGUUUUUCUGGGAAAUGUGUUGUAUGGUAUGUGGUGUGAGAUUUUUUGAGAGGGAGGGGUGUACUAAUAGGGAGAGUUGGCACAUGGAAAGUCACAUCCAAUCGGGCCUACGUGGGAGGCCUUAAAUGCGUCGUGGGCGGUCAGGAUAGGUUGAUGCGGUUCCACUAAAUGCAGCUUUAUCUUCUUUCGAUAAAGCAGUUGUUUAUAUGUCAAGCCAAAGAAAAAAAGGGGGAUGACUUCGUUUUUUUCUUUUUUCUUGUUGAAGGACACUUUGUGGGGACAAAUUUAUUUGCCAGAUGAUUUUUAUGAGUUGCCACAGGAAAUAGUGAAAAACCUUGAGUACAUUCCAGGAGAAUUAUAAAAAAAAUUCUAAAUUUAUUGUAAAUGUUUUAAUUUUAAUCAUAAUUUUUUUAUCAAUUUAAUCUUAAACAUUUUGUGUUUAUACUAAUUCUGUUUAUUUAGCUAAAUUUGGCCGGUCGACGCUAAUAUAAAUAAUUUUUUAAUCAUAUUUUUUUUUGAAUUUUUCCUUUUUUUUUUAUCCUUCUUCUUUCCUCCUUUAGUUGAUCACCACUGGCCAAUGGCAAGGCUUGCCUUCGCUAGCCACUAGCAAUCUUGUAAAAAUUUAACGUAAUAUGUCGACGAUAUCUUUUUGAGUUUGAAUCUAUAAAGGACCCAAUCCAAAUAGCUUUUCUAAUUUGUGUGGUUUCUUUUCAAUUUUGAGUAGCUUCCUAAUUUAAGUAACUUCUCUAAAAGAGACCAACGCUCUAAUGGAACCACAUAUAUCUAUGAUGUUCUCAUCGUUUCCCUGCUGAUUUCUCUGAUAAUAUUUUCAUCCUGUCCUUAGCUCGAACUGCAAGAUUUGUGUACUAAUGUAAUUGCAGGAGUCUAAAGUUUAAGAUGAGGCUUUCCGGUGUAGGCGGGUGGUUUUGACUUAUAAUCCCGUCGCACGAAUGUGGUCUACGUAUGCUUUUAAUUGAAGAUCUAUCGAUAGGGUUUUGAAUAAAGAGAAAAAAUUGAGCUUUCUCGGUUGUUUUCGUAAAAGUAAUUCUCUAUCUUCACAUGCUUUAAUAAUAAGAGAAUAUGUUAAAUUUUCAAUCAUGCACUUCCAAUUUUUUUUGUCUUUUUUGUAUUUUCUUUUCCUAUUAUACUCUUAAUUUUUCUAUAAGAUGCAUGGCUUUGUAUCCCUAAUAAUUUUCAAGGGACGGACCCCUAAUUUAAUUAGAUAGUAGAACUAGUUUGUAUAUGCUCCAUCAAUGCAUUUUGCUAACAUCUUGUCUACUUCUACUAACAUGUGGAAUAGUAGAAAAAUGUUCCUAGUCCACGUAAUGCAAUUCAUGAUUUUGAGGCAUGAUCGAUUGUCUUGUUCCCAUUUUACUUGACAGACAAAGCUAAAUCAGCUUGAAUAUCUAUCUGUGCCAUUUAACUCCUCUGGAUAGUAGCUUCCUCGCAUGUGAACAGUUUAUGCCCUUUCUUGUUGAGAUUACUAGAUGCCGAUACCAUUGAUUUAUUUAAUUAUUUAAUAUAGUUGAACCCCUUCAUUUUAGAUCUGACAACAUCUAUAUACAUAUAAAAUCAAUGGGGUUGAAAUUAUUUGGUGGUGCUCAGAAGGUGAACAUCAAUAAAACAUAAAUAAAUGAGUAAAUAAGCAACUUAAAAGUUCGGAAACCACAUUUUACAUUGAGCCAAAGUUUAGAGAAUUAUUGAAGGCAUCUAAGUACUAAUGUUAUUAGACUAUGGCUUGAAAACAUCCUGUACAUUUUUAUUUCCCGUGGUAAAUAUCAUAGCUCGUUUGAGAUGUUGGCUUUCAUGUUUCGUUCUCUUGUACUUUGAACGUAUGUCUUACACCAUAUGUACCUUGAAAAACAACUUUAUCAAAUUGCAAUUUAGAGCAUGAAUGAUAACUAUUUUGACCAGAAGUUGAUUUUUGAAAUAGAAAUAGAAAAUCAAUUUCUAUUCCUAGAUGAGUUUAUGAAUAAAAAUAUGUGUUUGAUAAUGACAUAAAGUUUCUAUUUCUAGAAAUAAAAAUUCAUUAAAUAACGACACAAAAUUUCUCCCUCUUGAAUGGCAGUGGACAGCAGGGGGCGGGUGGCGACCAACGACAACCAGCAAGGGGCUACUAGUGACCAAUGGUGGAUGGCGGGCUGUGGCAAGUAGGCAAUUGAUUAGUUGAAGACGAGCAAUAAGAAGAGUUUUAUUUCUCAUUUUUUAUUCUAGAAAUAAAGAAAUAUAAAUUUUUUACAUCUUAUUUCUGUUCAAAAUCUAUUUUUAGACUAAAAAUUUGUUUUGAAAAUAGAAAAAUGAAAUUACGUUAACAAACGAAUUUCUGUUCUAAACUUGUUUCUAUAAUAAAAUAAAAAAAUAGUUUUUGAAUAGAAAUAGAAUGAUUAUUAUGCGUGUCCUUAAUUCUUGGAGACUGCAUCGUUAGUUGAUGGUAGAACACCAAUUUCACGCUACUUUGUUCAAGGCUUUCCCUAAAGAUCUGAAAUGUUUUGUCAAAGACUUUAAAACCAGUCUCAAGCAAUUGGUAGAUGAUUCUUUUCAAGAAAGUCGGUCGGAGAAAAUUUGUUCCUAAUUUUUUUAUCCCAAAUCUUGCUUUGCAUCCUAGAAUCUUAUAAAUUGUUUGGUUAUAUAUGUUAGAAGUGUAAAUGUUGCUUUGUUGUGAUCGCUUUCUGUUACUGUGGCUACAGCUGGAUGGAGAAAGGUUCAUAUUUCUGAGUCUUGGGUGCUGCUCUCGAUCUGUUCGAACUUGACGGACCCGAAUCCCAAUGAUUCUCUGGUACCAGAAAUGGCGUACGUGUGCAAGACCAACAGAACCAAGUACGCGGCCACUAGAAUAAGCUGGACGCAGAAGUAUACAAUGGCCUAGGAUGCGAUGUGCGAUUCGAGGAGGGUUGGCAACUUGGCAUCUCUGUGACUUUGGUCUUGCAGUUUAUAUGUGUUAGUGAAAGACCAUAACCCAUCUCGUCCUUAGAUCAGAACAAAAUAAGUCUGUAAGGUUAUCCUCCUCAAAACGCAUGCUUUGCCGCAUUUCAAUUGUUCGUGUGUUGAUAAGUAUUUCUAACUAUGGUUACUUGUUUCAAGUUGCACAUUACAUUAAGUUUUACUGUGAUUAACAUAUUCUUCAGCUUAACUACCACGCUCUACUUCAUACUUGGAUACUGCAAUCGGAGUUUGGUCAUGUAUUGCCUGGAUGUGAACUGAGCUGGCUUCCCCAUCACUGCUAAAUUUUAGCUCAGGCUUUAAAAGUUAUCAAGGAAAUUGACUUUUCAUUACCAUUAGCUAUAGUGCCUGGUGGUGACACUCAAAAUGGACCUUGUCGCCAUGUGCUGAUCACAAGAGCGGUGAGACGAUAAUGGGCCAAGCAAAAUUACAUGAAUAUAAUGAGAAAGAUGUUGAUACAUGACCGAUUAUCGAUAAGCGUAAGGACAAAAACUUGAUAAUCAAUAGCAAAGCAAGAAGCCGCCACAUGUUCAGUUAUUGGAAUGCAAUGACGGAUAUCUGGCGGUCGCUUGAGUAGCUUCGGCGGCAAACUUUUUGACAAAAAACUUUGAAAUAUUGACUAAGAAGAGCGCCAAAGGCGCAUGCGGUUAGAAAGCAGUUGUUAUAUGAACAUGUUAUUGAUAAAUAAGGGACUAUCAAAGCACGAUCAAGGCAGCAAAGGAAAUGGACAAUUGAUUUCUAGAGAAGACAGAACGUGCUGUGGUUACUAGAAGAUGAAUAACUAUUUAGUGGUUAAAAGGCACCUCUAUAAAUACCAUCGGUCAUCCAGCGAGAAACCUCGUGACAAAUCAAUCAAAAUGUUGUUCCUUUAUCUUUCCUAUAUUGUACUUCAAUUUCUAUAGUUGUAGUUCCUAGAUUCCCAUCAUUAAUUAGAUUCCGACGUAUAUCUAUAUCUCAAUGUCACGUCGUUGAUUAGAUUCCAACGUCGUGUCUUUUAUCUUGGUCCAAUGCUGUCGAUUAGUUUUAGUGUUGUGUCCUCUGUCUUAGUGCAUUGUCGUUGAUUAAAUUCCGAUAUUGUAUCCAAUUAUCCUCAAACCAUGUUGUUGAUUAAAUCCGGUAUAGUUUCAACUUAACCUCAGAGUCUAGCAUUGUAUAUCAUUGUCAAAAGUUGGAAAUUCAAUAUUCAUGUUGCAUUUGCUAUCCUCUGUCCUGAAAUAGCACAAAACCUUGUCCUUUCUAAAUAAAAAUCAAGGAACGACUCUCGAUAAAAGAUAUUUUAUUACGAGAACAAAACCUAUGAAACAUCGUUUUGGUAGACUCGAUGGGACUUCUUGUGCUAGUUUGAUAGGAUAAUACGCCCCUGACUAGAAGUCAAUCCAAUUUCGACAACAUUGCUGAUAAGCCAUUACCACUGAUGACUGAAGAUCUUGGAUGUGCUAUGUCAUCAUCAACACAACCUCUCCCGAGCCAUGCCCAAGAGGAGGACACUAGUGUUCCAAGGCAGUGCAUAGAGGAGCAAAGAAGGCAGAUGGAGCUCACCCCUAUAAUGUUUUCAUCUAAAAGGAGGACACUAGAGGAGAGCUAGAACAAGUCCUUGAUUAUGCCGUCAAGUGCAUGAUGGAUGUGGUCAAAUCAUUUAUCAUUUACACCUAUCAUGAGUGUACACAAGGGCAACAUAGAGUGCCGAAAGAUCAAUUCAACCCCAAAUUGAACCAGUUGCCACAUCCUCCAAGUAUGUUCAUUAAUUGGUACUUAGAUAACUUUUGGUAUUGUAGGACAAGGCACAUCAACCCCAGCGCCACUUAGGAUCUUGCAAAGAGGAGAGGCUAUUAUAGCGGUCCAAUCCUGUGGACCUGUUGGCAUCAAUGCCAAUAGCCCUUCAACAUCAUUGCAAAGAAAUGAUACCCUAGGGAUAACUUAGACCUGUGGAGCAGCAUUACCUAAUGGGAAUUAUAGGCUUGGCUUAGUUCAAACAAAAUUUCUUACUAAUAAUAGUGGGAUAAUUGGUCAAGGACCUUGCUAGAAUACAUUGUUUGUGGCUAAUGAGAGUGCGUAGGCUUGUGUUACCAUGUCUCAACCUAAUCUCAUCCUUGUGCCCAAUACUAAUGUCGAUAACCAGGGGACAUUGUUUUCUCCACCUAGGGGGUAGGAGUAACUUCCUUAACUGCAACAAUUACCCCCAAUAGGGAUUUCAACUAAUCCCUUUGACUAUCCCAUUGUAGCCUUCGCAACUAGCCCCUCAACCUUCUCCUUUACAUGUUCCUCAGCAACCGCCAAAACAACCGAACAUUCCACCAAUCCCAUAGAAUAACCCACAACCUUUGCAAUUCCAAAUUCAGCAACAACCUUAUAGUCCGUGGCAACAAUUACCCUAAUUCAUGCCCCAAUAUGCGAAUCAGAUGUAGCAAUCCAAUUUAAGCGCUCAACAUGCUACAGGGGUGCCCAUGGUUACACUUAGAACCAACUAGUAAUUGAUCCAUCAAUGAGGCAGUACGGUUAUGAUAUGGGAUGUGUGGGAAAUGUCUACAGGAAACCAUAUCCAAAUUGGAUGGAUGCAAUCACAUACCCACGAGGCUUUAAAAUGCCAAAAUUUAUGUUGUUUAUUGGUGAAGAUGAUUAGUCUACUUUUGAACAUGUUGAGAGUGCUAGUAUGAACACCUAGAGGGGGGGGGGGUGAAUGUGUGUUUAAAAUAAACAUUGGCAAAUAGAUACGGAAUAAAAUAAAUUUCGAGUAAAGUCUAAAUAAGGAUCAGACUUUGAAAUUGAGUCUGAAGAAUAAUAGACUUUGAUCAAGUUAGACUUUAGCAGUUAAAUAGAAUUACGAACAAAAUAAAAGAGUUCAGGGAAGAGAAUAAGAACAUAUAAUUUAUAAUGGUUCAGCUUAGAUCAAGCCUACAUCCACUCUCCCACACUAUCAGCCUCCUGACUGGAUUCUACUAUGCAAUCAACAAGAGAUUACAACUUUAAGUGCAAAUACUUAGAAGUAGAUCACACUAUCUCACUAAGUCACUCUUUUGGUAUUUCUCUCACGAUCACAAACGUUUAAGCUCACAAGAGACAAGUGUAUAAUCGAAGUUGGAUUAAACUUUGGAAUUAUUACUUCUACGCUCCGUUUCUUACUUGCUCAUUGGUCCUUGAUCUCCUUAAAUACUUCUCUACUUCCAAACUAGCCAUUGGACAGUAUCUAGAGGAUCGUCUUCCAAUCUACCAAUUGGACAAAUCUGUAUCUAUAAGAUUUGGUAGCCGUUGAGUGACAAAAGUAGAAUCUCAAAUUGAUUCUGAUCGCCCAUACAAACAGAAUCUUGAUUUCCAUAAAUAAAGCUUCUUCGUUUAGAAAGUUUUUGUCUUCAAGAUCCAAUUGUCAAUCAAUUAGAUUGAGUCAAUAAAAUCUAUCUUGAUGUAGAAUCCAAAUCAGAUCACUAGCCGUUAUAUGUUUGGGACUUGUGUUACAUUAUGUCAAGUUGUUUCAUUCUGAAUAUGCUUUGUUUUGAAUCUGCUAUGUUCUGAACUUGUGUCUCGUUCUGGAUCUUGUCACGUUCUGGACUUGUGUCUUGUUCUGGAUGUAAAGUCUGAGAGUGUUUUGUUUGAAGUAAAGUCUGAAUGUCUUCCAUCUAAAGUAGAGUUUGAGUGUCUUCAGUUUGAAGUAGAGUUUGAGUGCAAUAUACUUUACAAUCUGGACGUAAGUCUGAAUAUAAUCUGCUUCUGAAUAGAUUUAGCUUUAAAGUCUGGACACAAUCUGAAUAAGUUCAGCUCCAGCAUAGAGUCUGUUUUCUGGUUCUUUCAAGUAUAGACUUUGUCAAUAUCAUUUACAUGUUCUAUCAUCUGUAUAGUCUAUUACUCAGCCAUUAAAUACGUUAGUAGCCUUUGAUUUAUUUUGUCAUCUUCAAAACAUCAUAAAUGAUUUCCCUAAUAAUCUCCUCAUUUUUGAUGAUGACAAAACAAUAUCUAAAUAUGCAGAUGUUUCAAUUGUCUCUAAGCAAAAUAUCAAAAAAUAAUCACACGUAUUAUAUCAAAUCUCAACUCACGAAUCACAAAAAUAAAUCACACGAUUCUUUCUUCAAUAAAACAAAUCAAAGAAUAUGAUCAUUUUAAAAUUCAAAUCAAUCAAGGCAUGAAGAGAAUAUAAAUAUAAUGAGAAUUUUUAAAUUAUGUACUCAAACAAAUUGAAAAAAAAAAUACCUUCCUUACCAAAUUCUCUUUCUUAUUUUUCUUUAUUCCUGCAAAAACAACUCACAUUUUCUUUGGUACUCAUAUUUUCUUGGGUCCUUCAAAGUUAGUAGAGUAUGUCGUUUUUACCCAAUCUUUCUUAAUAGGUCUCCAGACUUUAGGACAUUCUUUCUCAAAGUGUUUCAAGUCUCCACAAUUUGAACACUUGAGGGCAUUUCGACCAACAAGUUUUGUAAAAAUCAAUGAUCAUUCUAACUUGCUAGACUCUAACCAAUCUCAUAGCAUCAUACUCAUAAGUACCUAUGUAGAGAGAUAUUAGGGAACAAAGUCACAUGAGAGAGAGAGAGAGAGAGAGAGAGAGAGAGAGAGAGAGAGAGAGAGAUGAAGCCCUAGGUUGGCUACUUGGACGAUAGAAUCGGGAGAGUGACUUACACGUAUGGAAAUUUAGUCUUAAAAUCGAAUAAAUUUUUUUGUCCAUGCUAGUUUAGGAAAAUGAGCAUAAAUUUGUUGAUUUAGAUCAGAAUAACCUAAUUCCAAAGCAAAAGAAUGGAGACUUGAAGAAUCACAAAUUUUGUGUUUUCAGUUUCCUAAACUAAGCAUUGUAGGCUUGUCAAUUUUUAUUUUUUAUUUUUAUGAAAGUGGGCUAAACGGUGGUGGACAAAAUGAAAAAAAGUACAAGAACUUCAAUGGUUGCUCUUCUAGGCGCCUGGGGAAAUUGAAAUAGCAUCAAUUCUUCGAGAUUGAUGGCAAUAACUCUUCAAAGAUGCAGGCUUUAAAAGCCCCGACUCUUCAAGGACGGUUUGGAAACUCUUUUAGGUUUUCAAAGGAUUUGAACUCUUUAAGGUUCGAGAGACUUACACCAAGCAAAUUUCAUUAAUCAAAUUCGGUCUAUAAUUUAUAGACUCGUUGACCUUUUAUAUCAAAACAAAAGAAGAGUAAGAGGCUAGACUCAAGUAUAGAAACUAAUAGUCAUUAAUGUACAUAGAAACUAGAAGCUACUACAAUUGAAACAAUAUUUACCAAUGCUUUUGCUUGUCCCAAAGUGCCUUGAUGCAAGUUUUAAUGUUUGGGAAAUGACAAAAUCUUUAUGACAAAACAGAGUGUCGUUGAUAUUGAAUGCACGCUAAUCUUCUUGGUUGAACAAGUUGGUCUUGAAUACGAGCUACAUCAGAGAGAGAGAGAGAGAGAGAGAGAGAGAGAGAGGAGCUAUUUCCCUCCGACAAUUAUAAUUUUAUUGACAACUUCUAUUUGAUGUAAGAGAUAUAACUUUUGUGGGAUUAAAGACACUUUAUUGAACUUUUUUCAGGAUAUAUAAAUGGGCGAGCCAUCAUAUAUCGCUUGAUUUGGUACAAUAUAGAUUAUUAAUUAUGUCAUUUUGUGAGUUCAUUUCAAACUGAAUCGUAGUUAAUUGACUCAGCUAUAAUUGAAAGAACUAACUUGGAAAAAAUCACGAUAAUGGAUGAUGAUAGUGACAUGUACCUAGCACAUAGACCCCACCAAAUUAGUAGAAAAUGUCAAUGUGCUUAGUGAGGUCACGAUAAAAAUAUCACAAUGGACUAUUAUUAGAUAAAUUUGCUAAUUUGUACGUGUCCUCAUGGGAGGACUCAAAACAUCAAUUCUAAGAAACUCUUAUAUACUUUUAUGUCAUGUACAGCUUUUUUACGUACUUUUUGAAUUAUAAUUAUAUAUAACAUUGCGAUCAAGUGAUUUUUUUGAAUUUGACGCCAUCGCGUUUUAGUUAAUUGACAUUGACUAACCGGGUGUGGAUCCAUCCUAUGCGAAGACUAUGUGCUAACUGGUUUUGGAAAGUAAUAUUCAAUAUAAUCAUUGUACCUAAAACAAUAUGUGGAAAUGUAAACGCAAGAACCACCCUCCGCAAAUGUACAGCGACUAUUGAAGGCAGUCUCUAAGGAAAUAAAAUUACAUAAACAAGGCAGAUAGCAGCAAAAAGAGACGGAGAUCUUCCAUGGUUUAGAAGUGAUGGUGGUGCUUCUUGCCAUGAUGAGACUCUUUAUCUUUUUUCUUGGCCUCCUUCCUCUCGUGGUGCUCGUGGAAGGCGAACCCGACAGCCCCGACGGCAGCGGCGGCAGCUAUUUCCUCCUCUAUCUUGUGCCGGUGAGCGUGCUCCGGGUCCUUCUUGGCCUUAUGCUUCUCAUGCUGCAAUUUGUACAUCAUUAAUCAGGAAUUGCGUGCACGAAACAAAAUGAGUUAAGGAAAAGAAAAAAAAGAGUUCUCUAUUAUGUCUACUUUUUUUUAUACAAGCUCUGAGCAUGGGAUAAUUUCCAGAAAAAAAAUUUAAUUUAUUCACUUUGAAAAGAAGUAUUUGAUCAUGUAAAUAGUGCUAUGGAUUACAACUAUGUUUUUUGUUUAAGCCAAUUGUAGGGAAAUCUUAUUCCUCUAGCUGAUGGGUGAAGAAAAUCAAUUAAAUUCAAACUAUUGUUCAUUUAUAAGGAUGAUCCAUUCUCGCAUGGCAUGCCAUUAUCAUGUCGAGUUGAAAUAUGUGAGUUUAAUCGAGAUCUUUUGCAUCCAAUGCUCGUGAAUAACCUGAUGAUUUAGGUCAAUAAGGUGAAGACUCAAAGUUUAUCUAAAUUAUAAAUGGGAAAAGAAUUUCAAGAAUUGAAAAGAAGAUGAUAAUUAUUACCAAGGCAUAAGCACCGGCAGCGACAGCACCAAGCUCGCCAAGCUGCUGGAGGUGCUUGUGGUGCUUCUCCUCCUUCCUGUAAUCAACCGUAGGCUCCGUGAAGACGACCCCAGGCUCUGUGAAGGCAUCAUCCUUCUUGUGGUGGCUGCGGUGGUGGUGGUGGUGAUGNNNNNNNNNNNNNNNNNNNNNNNNNNNNNNNNNNNNNNNNNNNNNNNNNNNNNNNNNNNNNNNNNNNNNNNNNNNNNNNNNNNNNNNNNNNNNNNNNNNNCCCUUGCCCAAGCGAGCGUUGCCCCUAGUCAGCCGAGCGUCGGCUAGCCACAGCGAGGCUGACGCUCGCCUGGGCAAGGGCGCUCGCCAGGGCCAGGGCGCCCUCGCCGGGGGUCACCCUCGCCCGACCGGGCCUCGCCUGUGGCGGGUGAGGCCAGCCGGCUAGCUGUGGCCGGUAGCCGGCCGUCGCCUAUGGCCGGUGGCUGGCCACUGGAAAAAGCCAAAAAAAAAAAAAACAGAAAAAAAAAUUCAAAAAAAUUUAAAAAUUAUUAAAAAAAAUAUUUUAAAAAAUAUUUUAAAAUUAUUAAAAAUUAUCAACGUCAGUGCCGACAGUCCUACGUGGCACCGCUGGCGUCCACGUCAGCAUUUUCCAGCCAAAAUUGGCUGGAUGGACUGAAUCGACAAGAAGUGAAAAUGUUUAUGACUCAAUUGGCAAAUUUAAAAGAUUUAUGACUGAAUUGACAAAACCACAAUAAGUUUAGGACUUUUUGGACAAUUCUCCCCAAUCUGACACGAGUUUGAAGGGAAGUACUGUUCUUCCCUAUGGUGUUGGACUUUUGAGGAGGGUGUCAGAAGUCUCUGCUGUGCCCCUAAAGUUUGUACCCAGGAGCAUACGCUAAAUAUGGUGCCUUUAGAUUUUUACAGUCAGCACUAUCGGCGGAAUUAGUGGGGCAAAUCCUUGCUUUGGUGCCCCAAUCCGCAAGAUUGCUAACAACCAUCUUUUCUGUUUACAAGAGGUUCAAUUUUCAGGACGCAAUCCCAGUGUCUAAAUUCAGAGAAAGUGAAUCAGAGUCAAUGUCACGUUCCUGAUAUUUCUGUGCGGGAAUUUAUUUUGUAUUCAGACCACAUGGCUCAUAUACUAUGCUGUUAAUCGCACUUCUUAUCUUAGUUUCAUCAACUGGGAAUCACUAUUUAUAUAAUAAAUCAAUAACUAAUCAUUCCCCUUAAUGCCAAAAGCAUAUUUAGGAUUUUUUUUUUUGCUCAAUGAUGGAAAAUAAGACAAUGUCCAAGAGGCAUAAGGACGAUCAUUCAUUCCAUUGUUAGUAGAUUGUUUCCUGUAUAAAAUUAAACUUACGAAAGAUUGCUGAUGCUUUUUUUCUUUUCAGAACAUGCUUCAACGAAGUUAGAAGCAAUAAGAGCUUCUCAUUAAAGAAAACUGCGGUAUGCUUUACAUCAUUUCGAGUUGACUAGUACAGUCACAAUUAAGGAAAGAACUCAUACACAAGGAUCAAAUCAGAAUGUAUGUCUCGAUAGACAAUAUUCACAUGGGUACAGAGACAAACAUAUAAAACUUGUAAAUAGUUGUCAACAAUCAUUGCCAGGGAUUACCUCCUUUGUUACGAUUACCAAACUGCAAAGCAAGGACUUCAGUGAUCCAUGCAGUCACCUUUGCUUUGUCCAGAUGGAGGUGCAUCAUCAGUUAGGGAGCCAAAGGGAACACUAGAGGCUCCAUCAGAAGAUGUGGAAGAUGGCGUGGAGGUUUAUCGCUGUCUUCUGUAGCAUCAUAAAAAGCUCCCACCCCCGCUAGACAGUGAAAUGGGAGAUCUUUCGCCUGAGGCAAUUUCAUAGUUGUCUCAGAAUUGAUAAUUAUCCUUGAGAGAAAAUAUUGGAUGCUUGAAUAGUGUCACAUAGGAUUUGCAGCUGUCCAUUCAUCAGUUGCCAUGUGUAAACAUGGCACAUGGCUCCCACUCUAACUUCAUCAGACUCCUCUUUUGUGUCCUCACCUCUCUCGUUUCUCUCUCGCCUCUCUCACUUUCUUCUCUUGCUCUUCCUAAAUCGAAUUGCAACUUCAAAUCUCUUCUACUUUUUUCGUUUCUUUCACAGCUACUUUUUUUUUCCUCUUUGAUUUACCGGUGUUUCAAUCUCACCCUUGAUAAUUUGAUACCCUCACUACCAUGGGAUCCUUUGGCGUCAAACAGCUCAAACAGCUGGCUCAGCUUUUGAAUAUAUUUUAUAUGGAUGGCGCUGCAAUUGCAACAUGUCUAUUGUGUUCAAAGACACGUAAAAGAGGAAAGUAAAUAUUUCUCUUGAAGAUGUGUAAACACAUACGGACCCAAGAAGAACCUGUAAAUUCAUUACUGAAAGAAGCAUCUUUGUGCGGGAGAAUCACGUCCUACUGAGACAGAUACCAAGAAAGAAGUAAAAGAGAGCAGGUCAAGCUAGUAGACAUCCACUUAAUACUCUCAAACUUGCUAUUAUUUUCACCCAGCUUGAUAGAAAAUUUUUUACCUAUGGGACUUGAUAUCUUCAGAGUACAGUAAAAAUUCCAAGAUGGGUUCUUCAGAAGAAAAGUGUCCUGCCCAAGCAAACAACUAAUUAGGGCGCGUUUGGUAACGAUUCUGUUCCGGGGAGCUGAUUCUGACUAAAAAUGAUUAUUUUUUAUUCUAUUCCCGAGAACUGAUUCUGAGUAAAAAAGUGUGUUUGGUAACUGUCCAAAAUUUUUGAUUCUGGAAUAGAAUUGCGUUUGAUACCGUGUUAAUUGAUUAUGUUCCAAAUUAAUUUCUUUUGAUUUUUAAAUAAUUUUUUUACUUUUUAUUUUUUUCUUUUAUUUUUUUCCUUUUUUUCUUUUAUUUUUUCAUUUUUUUCUUUUAUUUUUUCUUUUAUUUUCCCUUUUUUCCUAUUCUUCAUCUUCUUCUUCAUCUGGCCGGCGACGCUCCUGGCAACUGGGCGAGCCUCACCGGCAGCUGGGCGAGGCUCAACCUCGCCCGAUCUGGCGAGGCCGAGCCUCGCCCAGCCACCGGCGAGGUUGGGCCUCGCUAGAUCUGGCGAGGCCGAGCCUCGCCAAUGGCUGGGCUUGCCUCUGGCGACGGGCGGCGGCGGACGGCGGCGGGCGGUGGCGGAUGGCAACCGGGAUGGCGAAAGGGAAAAGCGAGAGUUCCACCGUUUUGAUUGUUUUUCUGAUUCUCGGACGAAGAAUCAAAUUUUUUUUUAUUCUCAAAUCUUGUCCAAAAUUGUUCCCGGAAACAAAAAUUUUACCAAACACGAUUCUCAUCCCAAACUGAUUCUGAGAAUAAAAAAUUAGAAUCUGACACUGUUUGGCACGUUGCCAAACAGGCCCUUAGUAGCAUUGCCAAGCAAGUCUAUACAUAGUGAUUAGAAAACCGAGUGCAGUAAGAGUAAUAAAUACUAGAAGAGAUGGAUCCGAGUUCGGGAUCACACGUACAGAAAGGAACUAAGCGAAGAAAUAGUACAGGCACAAGCAAUUCUGUGGGUUCCAGGACGAUAGCCGACAAAAGCAGUAAUUGAACCAGAACAUGGAAUUGCUCAAUUUCUUCGGAGCACUUAGCAACACCUAAGGAACAACAAAAACCCAGCUCCAUCGUCAGAGUAUUUUCAUCGGACGCCUGGUCGGCAUAGCGUUCCAUGACAAGGCGACAAAUCCAAAACGGAGAAGGAGCACAAAGGGUAUCGACAACGGGCCGAGAUGUAACAGCGGGACGACGACAGACAUGGAGUCGGCGUUGGCAAGUCGGAAUGCGGAGACGGCAGAGGCGGGAGGCCAAGCCCAGGCCUCCUGCUUCGAGGGAGGGACGAAGGUGGGGUUGAUGUCCAUCGCUCUGCCGCCGUCUCGGAGCGCGGACUGUUGGGGCUGGUUCGGCAAACUCUUGGGGCCCCUCGCCGGCGCUCCGCCGUCAGUGGCGGCGGCGGCGGCCGCUGGUGAACCGGGAAGAAAUGAAAAAAAGUCCGAUGAAGUCAGGGUGGACCAGCGUGUACACGUGACUGAUGAAUCGACUACUGUUGAUCUUACGUGGCAUUGAUCAAUUACGUGAAGAGACAAUGUAAAGUAGAGAAAGGGACCUAACCGCUCACGUGUUGCUAAUUAUCAUUUUUUCUUUUGAUCAAGUUCAUUUCUUUCGCGAAAAAUAAAAAUAUGAUUUUUUUUUUUAAAUAUGACCACUUAUAUUAUUUAUAACAAUUUUUCAUUAUAGAAAAUAAUUAUGUCUAAACAUUCUCAUUGACUAUAAUAAUAUUGGUCGUUCAUUUAUUUUUGUUGCUAUAUAAACAAUUAUUUUUAAAAAAUAAUUUUCAAAUUAUUUAUUUUUUUGUGAAUAAAUAGGGCUUCAAUUUCUUACUGAUAUAUAUAUAUAUAUAUUACUUUCUUACUUAUGUAAUUUUAGAAAAUAGGGAAAAAAAUACCAACAUUUAAUCUGUUUACCGUGAUACAUUUAUUUCAAAUAUAUAUAUAUAUAUAUAUAUAUAUAUAUAUAUAUAUAUAUAUUGUAACAUAAAACUCCAAACUUAUACCCGUAUGACACAUUUAAUCCAAAAUUUUCUACGUGACACAAAAAACUAUAAAAAAACACAUUUACCUCAAUUAUUUUUUUUAUAAUACCAAAAAUUAUUUUUUUAUAAUACCAAAAAUCCCAAACUUGUAGUUAUAUGACACAUUUACUCCAAAUUUUGAGGUGAAUGUGUCGUACAGAUACAAAUUUAAAAUUUUUAGUGUCACAAAAAGUUUGGUAUGGUUUGGGGUAAAUAUGUUACAUGGAUAUAAGUUUGGAGAUGUUUGUGUCAUAAAAAAAAAAAGUUUAAAUAAAAUGUCACAUUGGGUGUAGUUUAGAGUUUUUAAAGGCUUUUUCCCUAGAAAAUAAUAGGACCAUGUACUUCUUGGGUGGAGCUAUCUGCAAAGGAGGACGUGUUAGUGAGAUUGAAUUUUGUUUCUACUACAUUUAUUCUUUUACUUUUAUUAAGCCCAUUUAUUUAGCAAAAAAUAAAUAAUUUAAAAGUAUUUUUAAAAAAAAUUAUCGCUCCUAUUGCUUAAAAUAUAUAGUCAAUGAAAAAGGUUUUCAUUAUCAACAAUAAGUUACAUUUAAAUAUUUUCACAAGCGAUGAAAAUUUAUUUAUAUUUUGGAGUGAUAUAAGUGAUAAUUUUACAAUAUUCUCCAAAUUAUUCAUUUUCUGUUAAACAAAUAAAAUCUACUCUCUUUCUUUCUUUUUAAGAAAUGCAACUUUAGUAGAGAAUAAACAUUUGCAGUCCUUACUUGCUGGGGAUCAACAUGUAUUAUUUUGGACUAUAAAGAAUUUUGAACAUGACAAGGAAGAAUUCAAUUUUAUCCCAUUUUCCGAGAAAUAAUUUGAGCAUCUAAUCCAUUGGAACGUCACUUUAUAAAAUGUAAACAUAUAUAUAACAUUAAAUUUUUUAUACUCACCACAGCAGGAAAAAAAAAGACUCAGAAAAGAAAAAUUAAAGACACCCUAACUUUCAAAAGAACAUCCAUCAAGAAUUGAAUUUUUGAAGAAAAUAAUGAUAGCCCAAUUGCACAUAACAAUAAAAUUCUAUGCGUAACAAUAAUUUUUUUUCUAAGGAUUACAAACUCCUCCCAAAAGAAAUAAUAAUUCAAGAUUAUAAUGUUACAAAGAAAAUUUGAUUAUUGAUGUUACGAAAUGCAUAAUUUAGGAUUUUUUAUGAUAUCAUCCCUAUAACAUAUUCAACUAAAACCUCAUUAGGGCACAGCUAAUUUAACUAGAACAAGAUAGUGUCCCUCUCAAAAAAUGUUAACAAAUUGAUAAAAAAAAAAAAAGCAAAUAUAAAAUAAGCUUAUAGUACCCCUUUCCGAUGCGGUCUCUUUUAUUUAUUUUGUGUAAUUUUUUGGAAUGUAACUACCCAUGUUUUUUUAUAAGCUCAUUAUCAUAAACAUUUUAAAUUCUUUCUCUUGUUAAAAUGUAUCAAUUUUUUUUCCAGCCUUUUAAAGUUCCGUCCUAUUGCAUGAUGAAAAUAAUGUAACAAAUUAGGAAAUCAAUCUUGAAUCUUGAAAUUACUUCCUAAUUUACUAAUCUUAACCUGACUCGGAUUAGGAAAGAACAUCUCACUCCUCCGCACACUCUCGAAACUUGACUCCAAAGCCGUCCCAAUUCCAACGGUAAACUAUAUAUUUUCCUCUCUGCCUCCGCGUCCUCAUCGUCCUCUGUCUCUCUGUUCUCUCCAACGUUGUCUCUCUCUCUCUCUCUCUCUUUCGCCCUCUCUAAAUUCCUCUGAACCGCGUUGCCCUUUGUUGUUCUUUCGAAGCACUUUCCUGUUUCUUUCGCCAAAAACCCUUGAAGUUCAUCGAUUUCUUGGGCCCCAGAUCACCUGCCAUGGGCAACAUCCUGAGAGGUGAUGUCCGCUCGCCGCCAUUGAUGGGCUCUUCAUCGUCGCGCGUUUCUCAUCUGCAAGAUCACGAGCAGAAACCAGUUGGCGACCACCUGAGAAGCGAGGUCCACUCGCCGCCGCCGUCGAUGGACUCUUCCUCGUGCCUUUCUUCUCUGCACGAUCAGGAGAAGGAUCGUGACGAAGGAGCCAGAGGUACUUCGUCUGCAGGAGUCCCCGUCGCGCCUGAUCGGAACACGAAGCAAGUUGGCGACCCUUCUCAAGAAAUCGUUCCUGCCCAACUGAAGCGAAAAUCCAUGGCCUCACUUACCGAUGCCGAAACCUUAAUUGUGGAGAAGAAAGCGAAGUGCCAAAGAACGCAGAAGGGAAAGAAAGAGGCCUCAGGAUGUGACACCGAGGAAGUUUCCACAGAGUUGACGCUGCUCUUCGACCCUUAUAAGAUCAAGAAGAGGCUUACGCAAAGCGAUCUCGGCCACCUGUCGAGGCUCUUGAUCGGGCGGGACUUUGUGAAGAGCCACUUUCUCCGGUGGAUGAACGAGGAGACAGUGAGGCAAGUCGAGAGCGGCGAGGGGGCCGACGUCAUCGUGAGGGACUUGGACACGUGCUCUGAGCAUCGACUGGUAUUUGUGUUUUGGGCGUCGUCUGGGUCGUACGUCCUCAAGGGGGGUUGGAUCAAGGAGUUCGUGAAACGGAGGGGCUUGGCAACUGGCGAUGAGGUCGGGAUAUAUUGGGAGCCUAGUGCUAGCGAAUUCCACUUUAGCCUCCUCCACAGAGCGAAUCAGGCUUGAACUUGAUCUAGUUUUUUUUUUUUUUGGUUGUUAACCAACAGGAAAAUUUUGAUCUCUGCAAAAGGAUAUUAGUGAUAGAAUUCUAUUGCAUGCAAUGACACUAUCUCUCAGGAAAUUUAAUUCUUGGCGAAUGCUUCUUUUGAAGCCUAGUUCUGUCUUCAAUAUUCUUGUGAGAGUUUUCACUGUGGUAAUAUCUUUGAAUGGAUGAAAUUGAUUAUUGUAGAUUGACAACAUCUGACUUUCUUAAUUCUGCCUAAGCACAAAUUUUAAGCGAUCCUUUUUUAUGACGGACUUCUUAUUUCGUAAUGAUCAAUGUGGCUCUAAUUUCCUAUUAUAUAAAUAGGCUUUCUGCUAAGAGAGUUCAGUUUUGUAAUAGCGGCCGCAUUACCGGGCAAGUCUAUGUAUAAGUUGGCUUGGUUUACACCACAUGCCUAUAGAUGAGUGUGCAGAUUGCAAUGCUGUUGACAAAUCAAUACACGCCCACAUAUUUUGUGCUUUCGCCUCAACAGUGAAUGCAUAAGCUGGUUUUUAGUCACUGUUUCAUCAAGAUGUUUCUACUGAACUGUCCUGAUCAACAGCUCUCUGAUGUUUUGCAAUAGCAUAGGAUAUCCAAAGGAACCAAAGUCAACUUCUUGUAGCUUUCUCCAGCUUUGGCCUUGGACACUUUUUUGAAAAACUUCCAAAUCCCUGCCUGCACAUUGGCAUGUCCAUGUUUUAUCAUCAUGAAGAAGUCGCUUAGUCCUAAGACCCAAAAAAUUGCGGUAGACUUUGUAUUGUUUCGAAAGGUGAGCGAUCAAUAUGGAUUUCAAGCAUCUCACUUCCAAGCAGAGGCAGUUUCUUUAGUUCUCUGCAACAUUAACUUACUAGUUUUAGGAAAUCCCUUCUCUUUUUUUGAGCAUUUUUCCAUAACAAAUGUGCAAUGUAAAAGCUUCGAUGAUAAAAAAAGGAGGAGGGAUCAAAAGGGGUCGUGAUUUCUCAAUAAUUUGGAUUUUUUCCAAGAGUGGUUCGGGGGGUUACUCAUAAUGAUAUCAUUGAAAUUCAAGUAUUUUCCAAGUACAGGAUUCCUUGUGACUGUAGUCCAGAGAGGACAAUUUUUCAUAGAACAUACAACUUUAACCCGCAAAUCAUCACUCACUCACUCUGCCCAGAACAGAAAGGUUCAUUGAUUGCGUUGGUCUAACAACACUGAUGUCGGCUCUGUUGAGGUUUGGCUCCAUCGUAUAGUUUUCUUGCAAUUAUUGUUAGCUCAUGGAGAGAGGGGAGCUAAGAUCAGGGUACAUGUUUAGUGAUCUGGGUUGAAGGGGAGUACUGUUCUCCCCUACGGCUUUGAACUUCUGAGAAGGUUGUCCGGAGUCUCUGCUGUGCCCCUGAAGUUUGGACCAAGAAGCAUCCGCUAAAUUUGGUGCCUUUGGAUUUUUACAAUUGGUUCUAUUGGCGGAGUUGGGGAAGCAAAUCCUUGCUUUGGUGUCUAAAUCCAGCAGAUUGCUAACGACCAUCUUUUUUGUUUAUAACAAGUUCGUUUUUCAGGACGCAAUUCCAGUGUCUGAAUCCAGUGAAAGUGAAUCAGAGUCAAUCUCACCUUCCUAAUGUUUUUCUGCGGGCAGAUAUGUUUUGUAUUCAGACCACAUGGCUCAUAUAAUAUGUAGCUAAUCACAUUUCUUAUCUUAUCUUAGUUUCAUCAACUGGCAGUCACUUAUCAUAUAAUAAAUACAUCAAUAACUAAUUAUUCCCCUCAACACCAGAAGCCAAUUUAGGAAUUUUGUUUCAGUCGACAAUGGAGACCAUGGCAAUGUCCACCAGGCAUAGCAUGGCAAUAUUGAAUGGAGGAUAAUUCAUUCCAUUGAUAGGAGAACGUUUCCUGUAUAAGAUCAAAGAUUGUUGAUGCUCUUCUUCUUUUCCAACAUGCUUCAACGAAGGCAGAAGCUGCAAGAAGACAGAUUAGUCCUACAACCGCAAAUGUUCUACAUCUAUUCCUGUGGACUAAGUACAGUCACAAUUAAGGAAAGAAUUCCACACACUCAGAUGCAAUCAGAAUGUAGGUCUUGAUAGACAAAACAGUAUUCACAUGCAUGCAUAGACAGACAUAUUGUAUUUGUAAGUAGUUGUCAACAACCAUUGCUAGAGACUACCUCCAUCGUUAUAAUUCCUAGACUGCAAACAAGGACUUCGGUGACGCAUGCAGGUGCCUUUGCUCUGUCCAGAUGGAGUUUACAUAAUCACUUAGGGAGCCAAGGGGAACGCUAGAGGAUUCAUCAGGAGAUAUGGCAGAUGGUCUGGAGGUUUCUCGCUAUGUCUUCUGGAUUACAGUAAUCCAUUCAUGAGUUGCCACGUGUACAAAUUGGGUGCCACUCUGACUUCAUCAGACUCCUUUUUGUUUCCUCACAGCUCUCGUUACUCUCUAUGUCAGCUCUCACUUUGUUUCCUUCAUCCUUCUUCAAAUCCCUAAAUCUAAACCCAACUUCAAGUAUCUUCUCUCUCUUCUCCUUUUUCGUUUCUUCACGGUUCCCUUUUUUCUUUGCAUGCCUCCUGUUUGCCAACAGUUUCGUCGUCAAUCUUGCCCUUGAUCCCCUCAUUGUCACGUGAUCCUUCGGCAUGAAACAACUCGCGUGUAGCAUGUCUAUUGUGUUCAGAUACGCAUAAAACAGGAAAGUCAAUAUUUCUCUAAAAGAUCUGUAAACGCAUACGGACCCAAGAGAAGCCUGUAAAUGCAUUAUUGAAAGAAACAUUUUAAUGCAGGGCAACCCCACCCUACCAAGACAGAUCGAGAAAGAAGUAAAAGAGAGCAGUUUGAGCUAGCAGCUACAUCCACUUGACACUCUUAGACUUGCCUUUACUUUCACCGAGUAUGAGAAGAUACUUCAUAUGGGACACGAGAUCUUCAAGGUACAAAAGAAUCCCAAGAUGGGUCCCUCCGAGGAAAAGUGUCCUGCCCAAGCAAACAACCGAUUAGUACCAUUUCCAAGCAACUCUGUAGUGCAGUAAGAGUAAUUAAGAAAAGAAGAUAUCGAUCCAAGUUCACUGAUUAUAUGUGCAAAAAGGAACUAGGCAAAGAAACAGUACAGACACAAGCAAUUCGAUAGGUCCAAGAAGAAUGAGUGUUGAGAGACGACACAAACGGUAAUCGAACUGGAACAUUGAAUUGUUCCAUUUCUUCCGAUCACUAAGCAAUACCAGAGAAGCAACUAAGACCCAGCUCCAUCAUCAGAGUAAUUUCCAUCCGACACCUGGUGGGUUCACAGGUUUGUAGGCGAAGUAUGAUCAACAAUACCUUGAGAGUGGUCAGUACUAAUUGGAGCAGAAGCAGCAAUUUUGGUUCUAGGUGACUGGUAAGAUGAGCCACUGGGUUCCCCCUCCAAACACUGAAGCAUCCCGUAAAACGGUAAACGUUAAACGGUAAAUUACAAUAUCAAUUAAUGUAGUCCACAAUUAGAAAAACUCUUACACAAAUAUCUUACCAGAAACAAGUACGAAAAGAGGUCUAUCCUAACAGCUGAGGAUCGCAUCUCGUAAUCUCGGAUUUCUAAUUUGCGUGAGAUGCAGCAACGUGUGGCAAAUAAUCUGCGUGGUCAUCUCAGGGGCUGCAGUAUGAUGUCAGAGCGCCACCGAUGAGUUUGAUCCAUCAGAGUUUCCCAUCACUCGACACCGAUUUUCAUGACUUUGGCAACUUGACUCAAGUUGAUAAGCUCUGUAGUUGACCGGAAGAAAGUUCAGAUGUACUCCGUGUCCAUGUGGAGCGCCGGUUCAAUCUGGGCCGAAUCCCAGGAGAACCGGUUUGAUUUUCGAUUCCAAGGUCGGAAUGAGCUUUGAAGCUUCUUUCAGAAAAAUCUUUUGCGCCCGCCCACGAGAAUCAAACCAUGAUAUCACACUAUUAAGAAACAACAACAUAACCACUUAACUGCCAUAUGCAAAAACCACCGGGGGUUCGCCCCAGUGGCCACCCUUCCCACGUGGAAGGGGGAGGUGAGGGGUUCAAAUCCCCACCUUCUCAGGGGGGGAUGGGGGUAGGGACGCGUAAGUUUGAGAGUGGGUUGCGACUCCCACGCCCUGCAAGCGGCAGGGCACAAGUCUGCGAGUGAGUGUAGAGUAGGAAUAGAGUAGGACUGACCAAAAAAAAAAAAAAAAAACUGCCAUAUGCAAAUGGUGCUACUUUUAGAAUAUGAUUUUUUGCACAUAAUAAAACUCGGACCGGCGGUUCCAUAACAGACCAGGAGUCACGGGGCUGGAUCCUAGUUUUAAGUUGCAAAUUGACUUAUCCCAAAACUGAUCAUUCCUAAUUUUGAGUGACUUUCAUGCUUUUUAAUUUUUUUUCCAUCCCGUUUUUCUUAGAGAUUUUGAAAUUUGAGUUCUCAUUCAAUGUACAGCUACUAACAUGUAGUCAUACAGAUUUGGUUCUUCAUCAUUUCAUGUCAAAACAAUGCUGUUUUAUGUUUAAAAACUUUGGAAAAAAAGUGAAAAAAAAAAAAUACUCAAAAUAACAUAACAAAGGCAUACAUUGUUUUGGUCAAAUUAUAAAUGCAGCCUUGUAUCUUUGAAGUGAAUUUUACUUUUUCCUAAUCUUUAAUAAUCACACAAUUUGACUAUUAUUUAGCUUGAGAGACCUCAAACAUUCCAAAACAUCUAACCAUUAACAUGUAAACUCAUUAAUAAUCUUAGGAUUAAUACUAUGAAAAACCUUAAACUUAUACACCUAUGACAAAUUUAUACUAGACUAAGUUUUAGGUUACCAAAAACCUUAAAAUGGCACACAUAUAACAAAUUUAUCCAAAAUUGUUAUUUAGAUUACCAAAAACUCUGUAUUGGUACACUAAUGACAUAUUUACCUUCUAUUAGCUUCUGUUAAAUUGAAAUCGUUGAGUUGAAAGACGUACGGCAAUAACUUAAUUGACUUGAUAAGUUCACAUGAAAGUCCAUAUUAGUUUGGGAUAAAUUUAUUACAAGUAUACUAAUUUGGGAUUUUCAAUGAUCCAAAAAUUAGUUUAGACAAAUAUGUCACAUGUGUACGAGUAAAGGUUNNNNNNNNNNNNNNNNNNNNNNNNNNNNNNNNNNNNNNNNNNNNNNNNNNNNNNNNNNNNNNNNNNNNNNNNNNNNNNNNNNNNNNNNNNNNNNNNNNNNNNNNNNNNNNNNNNNNNNNNNNNNNNNNNNNNNNNAGGACAAAGUUUUUUUUUUUUUUUGCUUUUUUUCCAUCUAGUUUCAAGAGUAAGCAAACAUAUUUACUAAACUGACACAAUUUUUUGGGAGGGCAGGUUUUCGGGUAUGGUUGGGCUGGGUUCCCGAGGAAGUACCCUAGUUUAAAUCUCUUUUUUAGGUGCAGAGCUUCACUGAUGAGUGUUCCUUCGUGCCCAAGAAAACCCUGGGAUUAGGUUUUUUUUUUUUUUUUGAGCAAACCCUGGGAUUAGGUUUUUUUUUCUUUAGCAAAACCCUGGGAUUAGGUUACACUACACUGAAUUAGACAGCUAUGGAUUCAGAAUCUCUCUUUUAUCUUUGGAUUAAUCCCACGAAAAAUUUCAAAGUGGUACACUUGUACAAAUCUACUUUGAAUUAAUUUUUUCGCCACAAACUCCAUACCAGUAUUACCUUUAACAAAUUUAUUUCAAACUAAAUUUUUGACAACCAAAAAGCAAAAACUAAUUUGUUAAUCAUAAAUUUGCUCUCGAUUAGUUUUCAUUAAUUUGGAUUAAUACCACGAAAAUUCACAAAUUAGAAAUUGGGAGAGUGCUGAAUAUUCUGCCCUCGUCGAUCCCUUGGGACAUGUCCUUGCCCAUGUUCAGCGCUGCAUGCUGGCCAUGUUCUUGCCAUAAGUUCCAAAAAAAUAAAAUGAAUUUCUAUAAGCAAAAAUUAGUAUAUUAAUCAUAAGUUUACUUUUCAUUAGUUUUCAUUAAUUUGGAUUAAUACCACGGAAAUUCACAGACUGGAAAUUAGGGGAGCGUUGAAUAUUCUGCCCUCGUAGAUCCCCUGGGACAUCCUCUUGCCCAUGUUCAGCGCUGCGUGCAGGCCAUGUUCUUGCCGUAAGUCCCAAAAAAUAAAAUGAAUUUCUAAAUUAGCGUCAAAGGUCCUCGCACGGUGGAAAUAUACCUAAUAUCCCCCCUCCCCCAAAUAAUGCCGUAAUACUAGGAAACAGCAGAACUUAAUUAAGAUUGCGAUUUGAAUACUGAUUUCAUUACUUUAUUUUAAUUUAUUUGGAUCGUGCGAUGAGGGGGGAGCCCAAUCCACGUGAUUCCUUCCUAGUCGUGAGUGAGACUUGAAACCUACUCAAGGCAUCAUAAAUCAUAUUUUAAGGACAAUAUAUUAGGUGGAUUUCCGGAAAUUUCGCANNNNNNNNNNNNNNNNNNNNNNNNNNNNNNNNNNNNNNNNNNNNNNNNNNNNNNNNNNNNNNNNNNNNNNNNNNNNNNNNNNNNNNNNNNNNNNNNNNNNNNNNNNNNNNNNNNNNNNNNNNNNNNNNNNNNNNNNNNNNNNNNNNNNNNNNNNNNNNNNNNNNNNNNNNNNNNNNNNNNNNNNNNNNNNNNNNNNNNNNNNNNNNNNNNNNNUAGCUAACGUGAAUGCUAACGAUGCCAUAUAGGACUGUCCGCGCUGACAUUGACAAUUUUUAAUAAUAUUUUAAUAUUAUUGAAUUUUUAUUUUUUUUAUUUUUUUCUCUUUUUUAUUUUUUUCUUUCUUUUAUUUUUUGCUUCUUCUUAUUCCUUUUGCCAGUGGCUAGCCAUUGGCCAUGCCAGGUUGCUUGGCCUUGACUGCAAUCGAUGAGGCACGGCCGAGCGAGGGCAAGCUUCGGUGAGGCUCACCUUUGCCCGAGCAAGACCCAACGAAGCUCAGCUUCAUGCGAGGCUAGCCCUCACCGGUGUUGGCCAGGUGAAGGCGAUGCCGAGUGAGGUCAACCUAGCCUAGGCAAGGGCCGGCCUCGCCCAAUCUAGCCUGGGCUAGGCCGACCCUCAUUGGGCCUCACCUAGGCGGGUGAGUCCCGAUGAGGUCAGCCCUCGCCCAGGCCAAGGCAGCCUCACCGCGCAUUGCCUAUGCCCAAACAACGAUUAAUGAGGCCACCCCUCUCGGUAAGGCCACCUUGGCCUAGGUGAGGGCUGACCUCACCUUGCCUAGGCGAGGGCUCCCCUCGCCGGGGCUUGCUCGGCCACACCUCGCCUAUUGCAGGUGAGGCUAGUCGGCCCAACAUGGGGAGUGGCCGAUCACUGGCAAAAGGAAGAAGGAGAAGCAAAAAAGAAAAGAAAGAAAAAAAAGAGAAAAAAAUAUUAAAAAUUUCAAAAAAUUAAAUUAUUAUUAAAAUUUGUCAACUUCAGCGCUAGUAGCCCUAUGUGGCACUGUUGACUUCCACGUAAGUGAUUUCUGAUUUAAAUUUAUUGGGAUGGACUCAAUUGAUAAAAAGUAAAAAGGUUUAUGACUCAAUUAGCAAAAUUGAAAAGUUUAUGACUGAAUUGGUAAAAGUGAAAUAGGUUUAAGACUUUUUGAAUAAUUUUCUUAGUGAAAAUUUUUAUCUUUUUUUUUUAUAUUAUUUUUCCUUUGUCUUCUUUUGAAUCAAUUUCUUCACAUUUUUUUUUUCUAAUGGGACAAUUUGACGUUGGGGUUAAAUUAUCCGUUCCCCAUAUAAGAUUUUAGUUAAAUCAGUUUAAUUUGCUCCUCCACUCCGACUUCUCUUUAUAUCCUUCAAUUAUAAACUCUCUAUAUAUAUAUUUUUUUCAAAUUACAACAUUUUCUCUUUCCGAUUUUCAAUCGUCUUUAAGAAAGAGCUACAACACAACAACAAUUAAAAGAUAGUGAGGAAACUACAUAAAUUGAGUUCAUCAAAAGACAAAAUAGAUCAUAAGACUAUCAAUCUAUGAACUAGCUUCGUCUUCAAGUAGGAUUGGCUCCGGCAGGGGCGCAGAGUAGGGAUGGGCCCGGCGAAAACUAUAAGAAUGGUAUGACAUGGUGAUGGAGGUGUCGGCAGCGUGGUCAAACAAUUAGGUCAAAAUAAAAAGGGCGAAAGCGACGUCCCUCUUGGUCUGUGUUCCUGUGCUUGAUCCCCGUUCCAGUUGAUCUGAAAAAUUAUUGAAAAAGUCAUAACCCUAUUAUGCGGUGAUCAAUUCUAUUAUAAACCUCUAAAUUAUGUCAAUUUUGUUAUAAAUCUUUUGACAAUUACCAAUUUAGNNNNNNNNNNNNNNNNNNNNNNNNNNNNNNNNNNNNNNNNNNNNNNNNNNNNNNNNNNNNNNNNNNNNNNNNNNNNNNNNNNNNNNNNNNNNNNNNNNNNUAGACUUACAAAUGUGUCAAUUUAGUCUAUCCUCUUGAUAAUUGCAAAUUCAAUUUAACAUUUAACGAUUUGCUGAAUUUAGUAUUUACGGUCAAUUUGGACAAAAAUUUCUGAAGUGGUAGUUUAAUCAAUGCCGACCAUCCUGUGUGAUGCAAGUGAUGCUCACGUGGACAAUUUUUGUAAUUCUUUUGAUUUACUAUUUUUUUUUCUUUUUCUUUUUUUCUCUCUUUUUUUCAUUUUUGCCUUUUUUCCCUUUGCCGGCCAUUGACGAGGUCCGCGUAUGAAUACAAAUAGCCUGUGAAUAGAUACUUGCAUAUUUAUAGUGUAGUCAAAGAUGGAGGUGUGAUUUUACUAUAUAUAUACUUAUUGCUUACUUAUAGGUGGCCCUCCCCGGCUAAAAACGAAAUCAAAUACGUAAUAGCCAAAGCAUUAAGAAACAUCCUACGAGUAGAUCAUUGACACCUUUUCAAACAGUUUAAGAGUUACUUGGUAUCGGGAACAUAGUUUAAGGUUUGUAUUGGGGUUCUCUACUCUAAAAAAUCUAAGAUCAUUCUAACUCGUUAGAUCCCGGCCAAUCCCGUAUGCGACAUACUCAGAAGUACAUACGUAAAAAACCUAGGGAACAAAGUUACAUAUAAAAAACAAAAAGGGAAAGGAGCUAGGUCCCUCAGAUGAUGAUAACAUUAUUGACAACUUCUAUAGGGCUAACCCGUGAAGCUCCAUAGACACUUUCCUUCAAUGAACAGACGAACCGAGCGAGCCAAACACUUUGUGGAAUUAAAGACACUUUAUUGAACCUUUUCUAGGAUAUAUAAAAUGGGCAAGCCAUCAGACAUCGCUUGAUUUGGGACAAUAUAGAUUAUUAAUUAUGUCAUUUUGCGAGUUCAUAUCCGACUGAAUCGCAGGUGAUUGACUCAGCCAUAUUUUAAAAAACUAACCUGGCAAAAAUCACAAUAAUGGAUGAUGAUAAUGACAUGUCACCUAACACAUGAUCCCACCAAAUUAGUGGAAAAUGUCAUUAUGCAUAGUGGGGCCACAAUGAAGAAAAAAUUGCUAAUUUGUACGGGUCCCUAUGUUAGAGACUCCAAACAUCAAUUCUAGGUAAAUGAAGGGUUCCCUUGUACGUUUUAUUUCCUACGUAUCUUUAUACCAUGUACAGGUCUUUCACAUGAUUUUUGAAUUAUAAUUGUAUACAACAUUGCAAUCAGGUGAUUUUCUAAAUCUGACGCUACCGCGUUUUAGUGAAUUGACAUUGACUAACCAGGUGUGGGAUCCAUUCUACGCGGAGAGUCAGGACUGAUUGGUUUUCGAGAACUAAUAUUCAAUAUAGUUUUUGUACCUAAAAUAAUAUGUUGAAGUGUAAACGGAAGAAAUCAGAUCAUCAGAGGAUAAUAUUAUUAAACACCCAAGAUACAACCAGUACAAGACAAAGCCCAAACACACACAUGCUCAUCUUCUCAGGGAAGCAUUCACAAGCAGCAGAUUCAAGAUUCAAGAACCACCCUCCGCAAAAGUACAGCGACUAUUGAGGGCAGUCUAUUCAUCUUCUUUCUUGAAAUAAGAUUACAUAAACAACACAGAUAGCAAGAAGAGACAGAGACGGAGAUCCUCCCAUGGUUUAGAAGAGAUGGUGGUGCUUCUUGCCAUGAGCCUCUUCAUCUUCUUUCUUGGCCUCCUUCUUCUCGUGGUGCUCAUGGAAGGCGAACCCGCCGGCCC
rnacentral:lncRNA from 1 species